AGCGAACGCUGGCGGCAGGCCUAACACAUGCAAGUCGAACGAACUCUUCGGAGUUAGUGGCGGACGGGUGAGUAACACGUGGGAACGUGCCUUUUGGUUCGGAAUAACUCAGUGAAACUUGUGCUAAUACCGAAUGUGCCCUUCGGGGGAAAGAUUUAUCGCCAUUAGAGCGGCCCGCGUCUGAUUAGCUAGUUGGUGAGGUAACGGCUCACCAAGGCGACGAUCAGUAGCUGGUCUGAGAGGAUGACCAGCCACACUGGGACUGAGACACGGCCCAGACUCCUACGGGAGGCAGCAGUGGGGAAUCUUGCGCAAGGGGCGAAAGCCUGACGAAGCCAUGCCGCGUGAAUGAUGAAGGUCUUAGGAUUGUAAAAUUCUUUCACCGGGGACGAUAAUGACGGUACCCGGAGAAGAAGCCCCGGCUAACUUCGUG
rnacentral:rRNA from 1 species